AGUGAACGCUGGCGGUAGGCCUAACACAUGCAAGUCGAACGGCAGCACAGUAAGAGCUUGCUCUUACGGGUGGCGAGUGGCGGACGGGUGAGGAAUACAUCGGAAUCUACUUUUUCGUGGGGGAUAACGUAGGGAAACUGACGCUAAUACCGCAUACGACCUACGGGAGAAAGCAGGGGAUCUUCGGACCUUGCGCGAUUGAAUGAGCCGAUGUCGGAUUAGCUAGUUGGCGGGGUAAAGGCCCACCAAGGCGACGAUCCGUAGCUGGUCUGAGAGGAUGAUCAGCCACACUGGAACUGAGACACGGUCCAGACUCCUACGGGAGGCAGCAGUGGGGAAUAUUGGACAAUGGGCGCAAGCCUGAUCCAGCCAUACCGCGUGGGUGAAGAAGGCCUUCGGGUUGUAAAGCCCUUUUGUUGGGAAAGAAAAGCAGCAGGUUAAUACCCCGCUGUUCUGACGGUACCCAAAGAAUAAGCACCGGCUAACUUCGUG
rnacentral:rRNA from 1 species